AUGGGGCAGCCCGAUCAGGCAAGGCCGCCGGGAAGCGCGUGCGUGUGGGUGGUUGCGGUGCUCCUCCUCCUCGCCGUGUUCGCCGGAGGCGGGUGCCUGGUGCUCUACGUGACGCUGCCGCCGGCCGAGGUGCCGCAAUGGCUUCCCAUUGCCGGACUCGCACUCGUCGCGCUCCCUUGGGCGUUCUGGAUCGCCACGUGCGCCUACAGUUGCUGCUGCUCGCGUUCGUCGCCUCCGGCUCAGGCGGCGGGGGCCGUGGAGCGGCAGCCUUUGAGGUCGGCCGCGGUAGUACCGCUGCCGAGCAGCACGAACAUCAAGAGCGCGCUUAGCAAGAAGCACAGGCGAUCUCCGGCGGCGUCAACCAACAACGCGUGGCGGGUGCACUUCGGGGAGUCCAUCGUUCUCGGAGACGAGGAGAAGGACGAUACCUCGUCGGUGAAUUCGCACGAGAGCGAGGCGCCGCUGGCCUACUCCGAGCAUCCUUCCUGA
rnacentral:rRNA from 1 species